GUUGGAUUUCUGUUAAUAAUUUAUAUAAAAUAUUUUGAUGAAUAUUUAUAUAAUAUUAACAUAAUUCAUAUUACUAUAUAUUUUAGUAUAUGAAAUUUUACUUUGAGAAAAUUAGAGUGCUUAAAGCAGGCAUAUGCCUUGAAUACUCCAGCAUGGAAUAAUAUUAAAGAUUUUUAUCUUUCUUAUUGGUUCUAAGAUAAGAAUAAUGAUUAAUAGGGACAGUUGGGGGCAUUUGUAUUUAACAGUCAGAGGUGAAAUUCUUAGAUUUGUUAAAGACAAACUAAUGCGAAAGCAUUUGCCAAGGAUGUUUUCAUUAAUCAAGAACGAAAGUUAGGGGAUCGAAGACGAUCAGAUACCG
rnacentral:rRNA from 1 species